rnacentral:rRNA from 1 species
CAGUAGCCGCGGUAAUACGUAGGUGGCAAGCGUUGUCCGGAAUUAUUGGGCGUAAAGCGCGCGCAGGCGGUCUUUUAAGUCUGAUGUGAAAGCCCACGGCUCAACCGUGGAGGGUCAUUGGAAACUGGAGGACUUGAGUGCAGAAGAGGAGAGUGGAAUUCCACGUGUAGCGGUGAAAUGCGUAGAUAUGUGGAGGAACACCAGUGGCGAAGGCGGCUCUCUGGUCUGUAACUGACGCUGAGGCGCGAAAGCGUGGGGAGCAAACAGGAUUAGAUACCCCCGUAGUCCCUGUCUCUUAUAC